CAGACCCUGCUGAAUAUUGGGGGAAUGCUGUAGCUCCUCUGUGGCUUUGCACUUCUGAUCUGUCACUCAUUUGUGCCCAGAAUAUUCUGGUGUGGGUGGAGAGCUGAAAACCUGCAAAGGCCACACAAGCGAGGCCGGGAUGUGAAGCCCGCACCAUGCUGCACUUCAUGACUCAAGAAUUUAUUUUGGAAAGAACAUCGAGGGAAAAUGGCAAGCCGAGCACGUGCGAGAUCUCGAGGCAGAGCACAUGGCCAGGAGAUUGCUGCACCUGGGAUUCAGGUUCGAGAGCCAGCACCAAAGGUUUCAGAACAAGCAAAGUGUCAUGCUCCUGGCUUCCUGCCCAGGCUGGCGUGGCCAGCCAAUCAGUCAGAGCACACCUGCUCCGUGUUACAGUUGAUGAUGCCCAGUAUAGAUAGGACGUGGGGGACGACUUGUCCUUCGCUAGAUCGUCGUCCUUGAUGCCUCGUUCCCGCACACCUGUUUGCCUGACUUCUGCUCUCCGUGCACCGACCCAUGCCUGUCCACUGACCACCCUCGUUUCCUCUGUACUGUCUGCUGUCUCUGGAGUCGUACAUUUGGGUCCACCCUCGUGUUGCGUGACACAAAGACCAGGUUGGUUGGCCGAGGGCGGCAGAAAACUGCCCCAGUAGCUUAUUCUGAACGAGGAACAAGUGGCUCUCCUAUUCAGUUGUCUGUCAACUUCUUUUGUAUCCUGUCCCGCACUCUUUCGGUCCUGUACCAAUACCACAUGGACUUCAAGCCACCAAUGGAGUUCCGUCGCCUUCGAUCGGCCCUCCUAUUCCAGCACGAGCAAACUCUGGGCAAUGUUCACUGAUUCCAUGGAGGAAUACGCUUUCUGCCGCAAAGACUUCCUAACAAGGUGCCGCCCGUCUCCACAUUGACACCAUACAUCAAAUAUAGUACAAAUAAAGCAAUCUCGGCACGGUGAUACAUGGAACAUUAAGGUGACUGUACUGCAAAGUAUGACAAGUAAUGGUGAGAAAGUGGAGAUCAGUAUGACCCUGACGAAUGAACUGCCUCCUACAUCACCAGUUUGCCUGCAGUUGUACAACAUUAUAUUC